CUCUGAUGACCUGGGCAGGGACUCUGCUUCGCAGACGCAGUGUCGAUCUAAUCUUGAGCGCAAGUUUCGUUUUUGGAGAUUGUCAAGGUGACACCCUCGGGGACUCCGUUUCCUUUUACAGUCUCCUGCCGACAUAUUGUUCCCUGUUGAACACCAGAGAUCCUAACUGUGGUCUGGGCUAUAGACUCUGAUGGGGAAUCUUCAGCUAUUCUCUGCUUAAUGAAGGAGAUUUUGAACAUACACGGACUCCAAUUCAGGUUAGUUGCCCAACCUAACCUUAAACUUGAGCUCCUCUUGCCUCAGCCUUCCAGUUGCUGGGACUGUAG
rnacentral:lncRNA from 1 species